AGAGUCAGGCCUGCCCAGUGAUCACUUUAACGGCCGCGGUACCCUGACCGUGCAAAGGUAGCAUAAUCAUUUGCCUUUUAAUUGGAGGCUAGUAUGAAUGGUCUGACGAGAGUAAAACUGUCUCAUAUAUAUUCAAUAGAAAUUAACCCAAAGGUGCAAAGGCCUUUAUUUACCAAAAAGACGAGAAGACCCUGUUGAGCUUUAAUCUUAAUGAGCACUCUUUCUAUAUUCAUAAAUUUAUUUUGCUCACUAAAGAUUUUAAUUGGGGCGAUUAAGGAACAACCAUUAGCUUCCUGAACUCAUCCAAAAAAUAUACAUGAAUUAAAUCGAUCCAGCAAUGCUGAUCAACAAAACGAGUUACCACAGGGAUAACAGCAUAAUUCUUCUUGAGAGCCCAUAUCGAAAGGAGAGAUUGUGACCUCGAUGUUGGACUAGGGUAACUAGAAGGUGCAGCCGCUUUCUUGUUUGGUC
rnacentral:rRNA from 1 species